rnacentral:rRNA from 1 species
UAGGAUGAACGCUAGCUACAGGCUUAACACAUGCAAGUCGAGGGGCAGCAUCAUCAAAGCUUGCUUUGAUGGAUGGCGACCGGCGCACGGGUGAGUAACACGUAUCCAACCUGCCGACAACACUGGGAUAGCCUUUCGAAAGAAAGAUUAAUACCGGAUGGCAUAGUUUUCCCGCAUGGGAUAAUUAUUAAAGAAUUUCGGUUGUCGAUGGGGAUGCGUUCCAUUAGGCAGUUGGCGGGGUAACGGCCCACCAAACCUACGAUGGAUAGGGGUUCUGAGAGGAAGGUCCCCCACAUUGGAACUGAGACACGGUCCAAACUCCUACGGGAGGCAGCAGUGAGGAAUAUUGGUCAAUGGACGAGAGUCUGAACCAGCCAAGUAGCGUGAAGGAUGACUGCCCUAUGGGUUGUAAACUUCUUUUAUACGGGAAUAAAGUGAGCCACGUGUGGCUUUUUGUAUGUACCGUAUGAAUAAGGAUCGGCUAACUCCGUGCCAGCAGCCGCGGUAAUACGGAGGAUUCGAGCGUUAUCCGGAUUUAUUGGGUUUAAAGGGAGCGUAGGCGGGUUGUUAAGUCAGUUGUGAAAGUUUGCGGCUCAACCGUAAAAUUGCAGUUGAUACUGGCGACCUUGAGUGCAACAGAGGUAGGCGGAAUUCGUGGUGUAGCGGUGAAAUGCUUAGAUAUCACGAAGAACUCCGAUUGCGAAGGCAGCUUACUGGAUUGUAACUGACGCUGAUGCUCGAAAGUGUGGGUAUCAAACAGGAUUAGAUACCCUGGUAGUCCACACAGUAAACGAUGAAUACUCGCUGUUGGCGAUAUACAGUCAGCGGCCAAGCGAAAGCAUUAAGUAUUCCACCUGGGGAGUACGCCGGCAACGGUGAAACUCAAAGGAAUUGACGGGGGCCCGCACAAGCGGAGGAACAUGUGGUUUAAUUCGAUGAUACGCGAGGAACCUUACCCGGGCUUAAAUUGCAACUGACGGAACCGGAAACGGUUCUUUCUUCGGACAGUUGUGAAGGUGCUGCAUGGUUGUCGUCAGCUCGUGCCGUGAGGUGUCGGCUUAAGUGCCAUAACGAGCGCAACCCUUACGGGUAGUUACCAUCAGGUUAUGCUGGGGACUCUACCCGGACUGCCGUCGUAAGAUGUGAGGAAGGUGGGGAUGACGUCAAAUCAGCACGGCCCUUACGUCCGGGGCUACACACGUGUUACAAUGGGGGGUACAGAAGGCAGCUACACGGCGACGUGGUGCUAAUCCCAAAAGCCUCUCUCAGUUCGGAUUGGAGUCUGCAACCCGACUCCAUGAAGCUGGAUUCGCUAGUAAUCGCGCAUCAGCCACGGCGCGGUGAAUACGUUCCCGGGCCUUGUACACACCGCCCGUCAAGCCAUGAAAGCCGGGGGUACCUGAAGUACGUAACCGCGAGGAGCGUCCUAGGGUAAA